rnacentral:rRNA from 1 species
UAAGGAAUAUUGGACAAUGGAGGCAACUCUGAUCCAGCCAUGCCGCGUGAAGGAAUAAGGCCCUAUGGGUUGUAAACUUCUUUUAGACGGGACAAAACCCCUUUACGUGUAAAGGGUUGAUGGUACUGUCAGAAUAAGCAUCGGCUAACUUCGUGCCAGCAGCCGCGGUAAUACGAAGGAUGCAAGCGUUAUCCGGAAUUAUUGGGUUUAAAGGGUGCGUAGGCGGACUAAUAAGUCAGUGGUGAAAGCCUGCAGCUUAACUGCAGAAUUGCCAUUGAUACUGUUAGUCUUGAGUACAGUUGAGGUAGGCUGAAUGUGUCAUGUAGCGGUGAAAUGCUUAGAUAUGACACACAACACCGAUUGCGAAGGCAGCUUGCUAAGCUGUAACUGACGCUGAGGCACGAAAGCGUGGG